rnacentral:rRNA from 1 species
UACGUAGGCAGCGAGCGUUGUUCGGAGUUACUGGGCGUAAAGAGCUCGUAGGCGGUCUGUCACGUCUGCCGUGAAAACCCGAGGCUUAACCUCGUGGCUUGCGGUGGAUACGGGCAGACUAGAGGUAGGUAGGGGAGAACGGAAUUCCCGGUGUAGCGGUGAAAUGCGCAGAUAUCGGGAGGAACACCGGUGGCGAAGGCGGUUCUCUGGGCCUUACCUGACGCUGAGGAGCGAAAGCAUGGGGAGCGAACAGG